UUGAGCGAUUUACUUCGGUAAAGAGCGGCGGACGGGUGAGUAACGCGUGGGUAACCUACCCUGUACACACGGAUAACAUACCGAAAGGUAUGCUAAUACGGGAUAACAUAUUUGAGAGGCAUCUCUUAAAUAUCAAAGGUGAGCCAGUACAGGAUGGACCCGCGUCUGAUUAGCUAGUUGGUAAGGUAACGGCUUACCAAGGCGACGAUCAGUAGCCGACCUGAGAGGGUGAUCGGCCACA
rnacentral:rRNA from 1 species